rnacentral:misc_RNA from 1 species
AAGUCGUAACAAGGUUUCCGUAGGUGAACCUGCGGAAGGAUCAUUAACACGUAUCCACGUACCCACCCAACGAGCAUUCGUUUUCACUCCUCCCGAGUAGGAGGCAGCGGUUCAUGGAGCGCGCGCGCUGACUGGGAUCUUUCGCCGCAAGGCGUAAGGUCGUGCGCCGCUCUUAAGAGUGUGCUUCGGCACGCGUACGCUGUCGCCCUUCUCGGCCAUCUUUUCUCUUCCUGCUGAAUCCUUUCAGUCGGCAGGUUGGGAGUCACACACACACGACUGUCACCCCUUUUUUGCUAGUUGACUUUUGUACAGCGGUUGCUCUCGUUAGCGGCCCGUUGAAAAUUACUUCAACACACAAACAACUCUUAGCAAUGGAUAUCUUGGUUCUC